GACGAACGCUGGCGGCGUGCCUAAUACAUGCAAGUAGAACGCACAGUUUAUACCGUAGCUUGCUACACCAUAGACUGUGAGUUGCGAACGGGUGAGUAACGCGUAGGUAACCUGCCUGGUAGCGGGGGAUAACUAUUGGAAACGAUAGCUAAUACCGCAUAAUAUUAAUUAUUGCAUGAUAAUUAAUUGAAAGGUGCAAUUGCACCACUACCAGAUGGACCUGCGUUGUAUUAGCUAGUAGGUGAGGUAACGGCUCACCUAGGCGACGAUACAUAGCCGACCUGGGAGGGUGAUCGGCCACACUGGGACUGAGACACGGCCCAGAAUCCUACGGGAGGGAGCAGUAGGGAAUCUUCGGCAAUGGACGAAAGGCUGAACGAGCAACGCCGCGUGAGGGAAGAAGGUUUUCGGAUCGGAAAGCUCUGUUGUAAGAGAAGAAAGGGUGUGAGAGUGGAAAGUUCACACUGUGACGGUAUCUUACCAGAAAGGGACGGCUAACUACGUG
rnacentral:rRNA from 1 species